rnacentral:rRNA from 1 species
CCUACGGGCGGCUGCAGUGGGGAAUAUUGCACAAUGGGGGAAACCCUGAUGCAGCGACGCCGCGUGAGUGAAGAAGUAUUUCGGUAUGUAAAGCUCUAUCAGCAGGGAAGAACAUGAAGGUACCUGAUUAAGAAGCCACGGCUAACUACGUGCCAGCAGCCGCGGUAAUACGGAGGGGGCAAGCGUUCGCCGGAUGUACUGGGUGUAAAGGGAGCGUAGACGGCAGGACAUGUCGCGCGUGAAAUGCCGGGGCUUAACCCGGGAACUGCUUUUGAAACUGUGCAGCUAGAGUGCAUGAGAGGUAAGUGGAAUUCCUAGUGUAGGGGUGAAAUGCGUAGAUAUUAGGAGGAACACCAGUGGCGAAGGCGGCUAACUGGACUGUAACUGACGUUGAGGAGCGAAAGCGUGGGGAGCAAACAGGAUUAGAUACCCCGGUAGUC